UGGUUACCAUUUUUGUCCGUCUUUUUCUUUCUCCGCUGGUUAUCGUUAUUCUAUUGACUACUAUCUCCAGUAUGAUCCUGGUUGUGAUCCCUCGGUUGACCGUACUCGUUAUCUCGCUCUAACAAUUGAGCCCUGUUGACAACAUCUGAAUAGAGAGAAAAUUUAUGAGAAAUGAGAUACUGACGUAUGCCGGGUUUCAAACCUCUCAGAAACAUCCGCG
rnacentral:lncRNA from 1 species